rnacentral:sRNA from 1 species
ACGAGAGGAUGAAGAACGAGAAAGCCGGAGCAAUCUGGUGAGUAAAGUUUUUUCCGGGUGAGUAAGGAAUGGGUGAUCUGCCCUUUGGUGGGGGAUAACCUGGGGAAACCUGGGCUAAUACCGCAUAAGUCCGCGAGGAGAAAGUCGCAAGACGCCGAAGGAGGAGCCCGCGGCCGAUUAGCUAGUUGGUAGGGUAACGGCCUACCAAGGCUACGAUCGGUAGCCGGCCUGAGAGGGCACACGGCCACACUGGCUCUGAAACACGGGCCAGACUCCUACGGGAGGCUUUCUGUGGGACUCCUACGGGAGGCAGCAGUGGG